GAUGAACGCUAGCGGCAGGCCUAGCACAUGCAAGUCGAGGGGCAGCGCAGAAGUAGUUUACUAUUUUGGCGGCGACCGGCGCACGGGUGCGUAACGCGUAUGCAACCUACCUUACACAGGGGGAUAGCCCGGAGAAAUUCGGAUUAAUACCCCAUGGUAUCUAGCUAUGGCAUCAUAGUAAGAUUAAAGCUUUGGCGGUGUAAGAUGGGCAUGCGUCCUAUUAGCUUGUUGGUGAGGUAACGGCUCACCAAGGCAACGAUAGGUAGGGGGCCUGAGCGGGUGGUCCCCCACACUGGUACUGAGACACGGACCAGACUCCUACGGGAGGCAGCAGUGAUGAAUAUUGGUCAAUGGGCGCAAGCCUGAACCAGCCAUGCCGCGUGAAGGAUGAAGGUUCUAUGGAUUGUAAACUUCUUUUAUUUGGGAAUAAACCUCUUUACGUGUAGAGAGCUGAAGGUACCAAAUGAAUAAGCACCGGCUAACUCCGUGCCAGCCGCCGCCGUAAGAC
rnacentral:rRNA from 1 species